UGCUCACAUUAUUCAAGUCUCUCGCCACUCUGUAGAAGAGUCAGCCUUCUCCAUCAGCACAUUCUCUUGCAUCUCCUGCUUUGUUCUCCUCAUUGGACUAUCACUGUCUGGAACUUAAUAUCUAUUCGUUGGCUCCCUGGUUAUUGUCCUACUAGAAGGAGUGAAGACAGUUCAUUGAUUUUAAUAGAAGAGAAAGAGAAAUGUAUGGGCACAAAUGCAUACAGGAUAUACUUCAAGAGAACUUGGCCCCCACACUGAUGAGACAGAGCUGGGCAAUUUACAAAAUCAUAAAUUUUCUCAAAUGCAUCAAAAACUGAGAUUACAAGACAACCAGUGGGAGAUAUGAAAUUGGUCCAAGAAGAGCAUAUUGACAAGGAGAUGGAAGAUAUGGUUUGUGGACAUGAAUAGGAAGAGACACUAUGAAGAAUCAUCACAAACUCUUUGGAAAUCUUAAAAAUACUGAAGUACCACUUCCCUGCCAAUUAUUCUAAAUUUCAUAAAUAAAUCCUAUACCUACAAUUAUACCUAUACUGUAAUCCAGUACCUCCCAUGGACUCAUGAAUUUCGGGAAACACUUUUUAAUCAAGUUGUUUACAUAGGUAGGGGCCCAACAAAAUGUAUUUGCCUGGGGCCCCCAACAUCCUAGUGGCAGCAGCCCUGGUGCCAAAAAGCACCAGUAGAAGUUGACUUGCUCCAGUCACCACUCUUUCACCAAAGGUGACACCAUCUUGGUGCCACAGGUGAGGUCUCACUGAGCCCUCUGUACUUUCUGGGAGUUUCACCCCAACCUCUUCCAUCACUUCUCAGCCUCAUCACUACAACCUGCCUUGGAGACCACCAGGAGCAACCCUGUCAUGUCCUAUGUCCCUGGUUACCUCAGUCACCAGAAGCAGCCCAAGAAUCUGGACCAUCACUGCUAUCCCAGCUGUCAUCAUCGUAUGGCCUGUACAUUCCUAGUCUGACCCAAUGUAACACCCAAGCCCACCCCCCAGACCUUUGCCUUCUGGUGUAGGUCUGUCAUUAGCAAAAUCCUCCAUAUCCUCCCCUUCUUGCCCUGAUCUAAGAGGCAUCUCUGUUGCAGCCCUCAUCCCAUCCUCCUCAAAUCUAUAGGUUCUACAUUCAAAAUCUAAAGAGUAUCCCCCACCUCUCACGACGUUCUGCUACCACUUGAAUCUGAACUAUCUUCAGAGAGGGUUUCCUGACCUUCCUAGAAAUAGCACCUCUCUUUCUCUCUGUACCCACCCCAACCUUCCUUUAUUUUGCUUCAUAACAUCAGUCCCACCCAACAUGUUAUCGGUUGUUUGGUGUAUAACGUGUCCCCCAACUGGGAUACAGGCUCCCUGAGAGCAGCUACUGCAUAUGUUUUGGCUAUUGCUGUGUCCCCAGUACCUAGAACACUGCCUGCUGCACAAUACACACUCAAAAAAUACUUGAAUACCUGACAUUCAAUAUAAACAAAGGAAAUUCUUACAAAGUUUUAUUACCCAGCCUAUUUUUAUCUACCUAAAACAUAAACAUAUCUGGAUGGAAAGAUUUUGGAAAACCAAUUAUCAUGAAAAAAAAAAAAGUCUAGUGAAGGAGACAGUGAAAUCUCAUAAGUUGUAUCUGUUGUUAAUCAAUUCAAAAAUAAAGGAAUUAAAGGAAUUUUCAAUGAAA